GAAGGGGUGGAGCCAUGCUCCCCCCCUUCCUACACCCCAUUUAAGGGCUGACUCUCAAGGAGGAAGAAUCUUUAUCUGGUGCUCAUCCCUCUUGGAAUCUUUCUGUGAGCCCAGAACAUGGGACUAAACGUGAAAAAGAUGUUCUUCAUAGAACAUGACACAAUCCCACUCUUGGACAGCCUGGAUGACGGAAUGCAAAAGAGUGUACGGUGCCUCCCCCCGUUGCUCACGUGCCCUGACUCAGUGCUGCUGGCAGGGAUGAAUGGAGCACAGCGUGGGGUCAGCUCCCAGACAGCACUGUCCCAGCCCCUCCCCGGGAACGUCACAAAGGACCCACCACCCAUCUGCGUGGGCACCCAUUUCUGAAGCAGCCAAGCUGCAAACUUCAGAAACCAAAGCCCCAUUGUAACGGAGCAACUUAACUAUACUGCCUAUGAGCAAAAGACUGCCGUGACCCCUAAAGAAAGAUUGUUGGAGCGCUACAAGAAAUUCAAUAGUCUUAGUCAUGAAAUACGUGUGGGAUAAAAAUCUGCAGUUCUUUGUUUGCAUAUUGAGUCUUGGGCAGAGCGCAGAGCUGCCCGUAAUGUGCUAUUAAAAUACAGUUAUGCGGAAUAUUAUAUGCUAGUGGAAAGCCGUAACGGUGAUGGCAGAAGAGCUGUGGUACAGAACCAAAACAAAUCGUGCAUUUUGUAACAAUUUAAAUGCAUCCUGGCUCUAACUGAUUACUAAAUUACUGCUGUAGCUGCUGCACGGACAUGCUGGGAAUAUAGAGUCUUUCUGACUGCUGCUCAAACCCUUUCCUCUGUGGAAGGACAAGUCCCCAUUUUUUAGUCCCCAUUACUCAGUUCAUUCUGUUCAGAUGUGUUCUAUUAUACAGAUACAUUUAAUUAUUUGUAUUACUGGAGCAAAAUUCAUGCACCAAGAUUGAAGACUGCAACUGUCAUACCAAGAAAAAAAAAGAUGAAUGGGUUAUCUUUUCCUUUCCCAACAGAAAACCCUUUUGCUUGAUUUCAUCGUCCCAGCAAGAAGCAAGCUUUGCUUUCUCAGAAAGUAUUGUUUCUGUUCUGUACCUUUCUCUAUUUGGUCCCUGUCCUUUGCACGGAUUUCUCCUUACAAGCACAAAGCCACUCCAUCUGCCAUCAGUUUUCCAUGCUCAUACUCCUAAAUCUGCCACUAUACACCCAAUAUGAGGACCCCACCCUUCUCAUCCUACUAUGAUGUUGUGGAUAUGCAGUAUUAUAUUAACAGUUUCCCAUUUUCACUCUCCCAUUCAUGGCUGCCUCGAUAAUUUCUAAACCUCACCUCUCCUCCUGUGCAGGGCUGCCCCUUUCUGCAGCUGACUCCUCUUUCCCACAUGACAUCCUAUCCUGAAGCUCCAAGCAAACAUAGCCUCCAUGGUGGCCUCUCUCCAUACACCAAGACUGCCCAGGAGCCCUGGAUUUUUAGCUUCCCAAGUCCUGGCCUCCCCAUUCUCCAGGGAGUUUCUGUUACAAGCAAAGACGAGCGUAGGCAAACCAGAGGUACAGCUUCAAGAGUGCAUUUGUCUACUGCUGUGUGUCAAGAUGGGAACUUUCAAUAGCUUCCUCCAUUUGCUGCUCAUGCCCACCGCUGCUCUGAGGAACGUGGAAAGAAGAAACAGGCUCACAGCAGGUGUCCUGCUUCUUGGGAACAUUUCUGCCUCUUAAAAAUCAAAGAGAAUCAUAGCAUCAUAUUUGCUGAGAGCUGGGCACUUCCUGAUUUUAACAGAGAUCUGUUAACCUGGUGAUGUCACACUUGGGAUGUCUCAGGCUAAACGCUGAGCUUCUCUAUUACUGCUAUCGCAGAGGAAGAGGUGUAAUAGCGACCCCCCUCAAAUACAGUUUCCUAGCUUAUGGUUCCCACAGCACAGACACUGCUUCUUCUUAGCAUUCCUGAGGAGGGAGGUCAGCACAAAAGGGAUUAAGUGCUACUUUCUGCCUGUUUCCACCAUCAUGACCACACAUGCAUCUCCACACACCAUGCCAUGAGUUGGUGCAAGCAACCACAGACUGAGCAACAUCUGUUCAGCUGAGUGGAGAACGUGGCCUUAAGAAUCACAGGUGUUAAGCAAGUCUAAUAUUGCUGUAGUAACCGGCUUUAAGACUCGUAUAUCUUUUGCCAUGAACACAUUCUUUUGCAGACUGAAAGAAAUAGGUGUUAUUUCUGUAUGGACUACAAACCAAAAGCUAAAAAUAGCUUUUGG
ensembl:lncRNA